CACCUGGCAGACAAAAUGGAAGCUCAGUGACAGCCUCUUUCAAAGGUGCCUGGGGUGGAUCAAAGUUUUCUCCUCCUGGAGUUGCAGGCAUCCCCCUUCAUCUCAGGGGCUUUCCUGUCUCAACAGCUAACCAUACCCAAGGAAAGGAUUCCUGCUCCGAGGUCUGACAAGAGCCCAGUUCUCAUCAGUCAAAGAGAGCACCGGCAGAGCGAUUAUUGGAUACUCUAUAAUUUUACUGGCAUCUCAAAGACUGAAAUGUCUCAGUAUGUUCAGGGAUGUGUAAAUCUCUAGGUUUUAUCUCCAUGUUUCCCUUUCUCUUUGCCGUUUUCUUGGUGAAUUAAAUCCAGCCCUGAAUGUGAGCUCCAACUAUCGAUCCUCCUGUAAUACAACCUGCAAAACCAAUCAGAAAACAA